rnacentral:rRNA from 1 species
UACAGAGGUCCCAAGCGUUGUUCGGAUUCACUGGGCGUAAAGGGUGCGUGGGUGGUGAGGUAAGUCGGAUGUGAAAUCUCCGAGCUCAACUCGGAAAUGGCAUUGGAAACUACCUUGCUCGAGGGUUGGAGGGGGGACUGGAAUGCUUGGUGUAGCAGUGAAAUGCGUAGAUAUCAAGCGGAACACCAGUGGCGAAGGCGAGUCCCUGGACAACUCCUGACACUGAGGCACGAAAGCUAGGGGAGCAAACAGG